ACAUUUUUCGGAGGCGUCAGCUCGCUGCGAACGACACCCGACGUAUUUACGUCGCUCGUCACGCCGGGCUUCGAGCGGAGCAGUACGCUUGCCACCAGCAUCAACGCCGGGAGUCGAAUUCAAACCGACCUCGAAUAUCAGUCUGUCGCUUUCAGCCGGGUUCGUGCAGCCGUCCGCGACGCUCGACACCGACAUCCGUUCGCAAUUGCUGUCCGCGCAAAGUCCCGGCUUUCUUGGCCGGCG
rnacentral:misc_RNA from 1 species